GUGCUCACUUCAGCAGCACAUAUACUAACAUUAGAAUGACACAGAGAUUAGCAUGACCCUGCACGAGGAUGAUAUGCAAAUCCGUGAAGUGGUCCAUAGCUUU